UUGUGUUUGUGUGUAGAGAAUAAAGCUGUGGGGGUGAUGAAGCCUGGUCAUGUCUUCACUAUUGAACCUAUGAUCUGUGAAGGUGGCUGGCAGGAUGAAACAUGGCCUGAUGGUUGGACAGCAGUUACUCGAGAUGGUAAACGCUCUGCCCAGUUUGAACACACACUCUUGGUAACCGAUGCAGGUUGUGACAUCCUCACACGUCGCCUUGAAGACAAUGGCCGCGCUCACUUCCUGUCUCAGAUGUAGAGUGGUCGGUGAGAACAACAUGGCCUUCCUC